rnacentral:tRNA from 1 species
GCCGGAGUGGUGGAACUGGCAGACGCGCUGGAUUCAAAAUCCAGUCUCCGCAAGGAGGUGAGGGUUCGACUCCCUCCUCCGGCA